UUUCCGUAGGUGAACCUGCGGAAGGAUCAUUAAAAAUGAAGACGGGAAACCGGUCCUUCUCACCCUUGAUUAUCUCAAUUUGUUGCUUUGGUGGGCCGCGCAAGCACCGGCUUCGGCUGGAUCGUGCCCGCCAGAGGACCACAACUCUGUAUUAUAUGUCGUCUGAGUACUAUAAAAUAGUUAAAACUUUCAACAACGGAUCUCUUGGUUCUG
rnacentral:misc_RNA from 1 species